rnacentral:rRNA from 1 species
UACGGAGGGUGCAAGCGUUAUCCGGAAUCACUGGGUUUAAAGGGUGCGUAGGCGGCUUAGUAAGUCAGGAGUGAAAGCCUGCGGCUUAACCGUAGAAAUGCUUUUGAUACUGCUGAGCUUGAAUUAGGUUGAGGUUGGCGGAAUGUGACAUGUAGCGGUGAAAUGCAUAGAUAUGUCAUAGAACACCAAUUGCGAAGGCAGCUGACUAGACCUGAAUUGACGCUGAGGCACGAAAGCGUCGGGAGCGACCAGG